rnacentral:rRNA from 1 species
GAUGAACGCUGGCGGCGUGCCUAAUACAUGCAAGUCGAGCGAACAGACGCGGAGCUUGCUCCUCUCACGUUAGCGGCGGACGUGUGAAUCACACGUGUAUAACCUACCUAUAAUACUGGGAUCACUUCGGGAAACCGGCUCUUAUACCAGAGAAUAUCUUGAACCGCAUGGUGCAAUAGUGAAAGACGGUGUUUCUGUCACUUAUAGAUGCAUCUGCGCCGCAUUAGCUAGUUGGUACGGUCACGGCUUACCAAGGCAACGAGGCGUGGCCGACGUGCGAGGCGGAUCGGCCACACUGGAACUGAGACACGGUCCAGACUCCUAAGGGAGGCAGCAGUAGGGAAUCUUCCGCAAUGGGCGGAAGCCUGACGGAGCAACGCCGCGUGAGUGAUGAAGGUCUUCGGAUCGUAAAACUCUGUUACUAGUGAAGAACAAAUGUGUCAGUAACUAUGCACGGCCUGACGGUACCGAAUCAGAAAGCCACGGCUAACUACGUG